CCAGCUGGUGAGGACCGGGUUCUGAAUGCGACGCCUCUUCUGCCCUCAACGGCCACUAGAGUCGGGUAGAAGGCUGCUUCGGACACAACCCCAAAGCACGCAGCUCCUGGGUCUAGAACACAAGUGGCGGCCAGAGCAUUGUUCAUUCUGGUGGAAGAUUGCAGACAACUACAUACCCCUGACCAGGCACCGACUUCUUACAGCACCUCUGGGACCUCCGUACAGCAGGGUGUUGUAAUGGGGUAUGCUACUCCCUUCUCCGCUUUUCACAUAUGAAAAAACUGGGUUCCUGAGAGAAGGGACUUGCCUGAUAAUGAAGCUGGGGUCCUGACUCCUGUGACAGAUCUGGGGUGGGGUCUGGAUGGGAAGGACAGGCAAUGCUCCAGCAAAAUUUUUCCAAGGAAUUUGCUAUACUAAUUCCAGAAUUAGUAUUGGACAAAUGAAGAAGUAUAUGAACUUUUUAUUUCUGAACACAGUAAGGAAGAGGAAUUCGCCCUGCCGGGUACCAAGGAAUGUUAAAAUUAACGCAGAAAUAGAACAGCAGAACAGAAUGGAGCCCAGAAGCACAGCCCUGCGUACGUAAAGUUUGGCAGCGGUUAUGACCGACCAGUAUCACUCAUCAGUGAGGAAAGUAAGGACUUCAGUAACUGGUGUUGUGACAACUGGCUUUCCAUAUGAAAAAAACAAAACGAGAUUGUAGAAUGCACAAAUAUGAACUGCAGAUGAAUACCUAAAUAUGAAAAAAUGAAAAAAAAAACCAAACCCAAAUUUUGAAACCAUGAAAAAAAUCUCUAUACCUUUGGAACACGGAUAUUCUUAAGAAUCAAAGGUGCAUUCAGUAAAGCAAGAAGAUGUAACAA